rnacentral:misc_RNA from 1 species
GAUGAAGAACGUAGCGAAAUGCGAUAGGUAGUGUGAAUUGCAGAUGUAACGUGAAUCAUCGAAUCUUUGAACGCAAAUUGCAUUCCCUGGUAUUCCGGGGAGUAUGCCUGUUUGAGGGUCCCCAAAUACACAUCGAUUAACAUUGCUUUUGAAGUAAAUGUUUUAUCGGAUUUGAGCUUUCUUUAUUCUUUACGAUAAAGUGGCUUAAAAUUUAUUUUUUUUGGUAUCAAGCGUAUUUUACAAUCAAUUUUUGAUUAAAAAAGAACGUUUCGAAUGCCAUCCUUUUAAUGUAAUACGUUUGACUAUAUGUAAUAAAUAUGUAGUUCAUUCGCAUACGAUUCAUAAAUUUUUUUUUUUUGACCUCAAAUCAGGUAAGAGUACCCGCUGAACUUAAGCAUAUCAAUAAGCGGAGGA